AGAGUAUGAUCCUGGCUCAGAACGAACGCUGGCGGCGCGCUUAACACAUGCAAGUCGCACGAGAGGCUCUUCGGAGUAGUAAAGUGGCGCACGGGUGAGUAAUACAUGGGUAAUCUGCCUUUGAGAGGGGAAUAACCAGCCGAAAGGCUAGCUAAUACCCCAUACGCUUCCGGUCCUUCGGGUAAGGAAGGAAAGCUGCAUCGUGGAUGUGGCGCUCAAAGAUGGGCUCAUGGCCUAUCAGCUUGUUGGUUAGGGUAACGGCCUACCAAGGCAACGACGGGUAGCUGGUCUGAGAGGACGAUCAGCCACACUGGCACUGAGAUACGGGCCAGACUCCUACGGGAGGCAGCAGUGAGGAAUAUUGCGCAAUGGGCGAAAGCCUGACGCAGCGACGCCGCGUGGGGGAAGAAGGUCCUCGGAUUGUAAACCCCUUUUAGGAGGAAAGAUGGGGUGGGUAACCACCUUGACGGUACCUCCAGAAAAAGCCACGGCUAACUUCGUGCCAGCAGCCGCGGUAAUACGAAGGUGGCGAGCGUUGUUCGGAUUUACUGGGCGUAAAGAGCACGUAGGCGGUUUAGUAAGCCCCUUGUGAAAGCUCCG
rnacentral:rRNA from 1 species